UACGGGGGGAGCAAGCGUUGUUCGGAUUUACUGGGCGUAAAGGGCGCGUAGGCGGCGUGACAAGUCACUUGUGAAAUCUCCGGGCUUAACUCGGAACGGUCAAGUGAUACUGUCGUGCUAGAGUACAGAAGGGGCAACUGGAAUUCUCGGUGUAGCGGUGAAAUGCGUAGAUAUCGAGAGGAACACCUGCAGCGAAGGCGGGUUGCUGGGCUGAUACUGACGCUGAGGCGCGAAAGCUAGGGGAGCGAACGGG
rnacentral:rRNA from 1 species